CGAAUGAGGAAUACCACCGAGAAAUCGGUGACAAGACCGCAUACGCUCGGGCAACCGAGCAAAGCUUCUCUGAUUGAGAGGCGUCUUGGGAUGGGCCUGCGCCUGAUUAGCUAGUUGGUGAGGUAAUGGCUCACCAAGGCGUCGAUCAGUAGCUGGUCUGAGAGGAUGAUCAGCCACACUGGGACUGAGACACGGCCCAG
rnacentral:rRNA from 1 species